rnacentral:lncRNA from 1 species
ACCACGCGUGACGUCAGGGCCGCCGCGGAGCCGGCCAAACUCAAGUUGGUUCUGGGAAUUGUCAACAAAGGGACGAGAGACUCGCAACUCCGCACCGCACCACGCGCCCAGCAUCCAACCGGCCCCGAGGGCGCUCCGGCCCGCCUGGAGAUCCCUGCCCAGGCUGGAUCCCGGCGCUGGGGUCCAGUGAGGGUCAGAGGCAAAUGCUCCAAGAUUUAAGUUCCGCGGAAACCAGCGACAAAGCCAUUGAAGGAGGCGGUGAGAAUGUGGCCAGUAUACACGGAGUUUCUCUGGCAAAGAAAGUCAGUGAUGGCAUUGCGACACAGAUUGACUUUCAUCUCGGUUAGACAGUUCCCUUGGAUUUAACACUAGCUCUUUGGAUCCCUAAUUCGCAGAACGUUCCCGAUUGGGGAUAGGGACAGGUUUGGGGCAGUGACUGUCCUGAGACUCCCUCCAACCUCCAAGGCCUUUCGGUUUCUAUGUGAUCUCCAUAACCCUAAAACGCAUUUGAGUUCAUUUCCGCAGCUGCAUCGUUUUGUGGCCCGCAGGCUCGGAACCGUUUUACAAUGCCGUCUAGACAGUCUACCACGAAAUCAACUGCGAGCUGCGAGCUAGCUGCCCAUCACCCCAGGCUUCAGAGGUCGAGGUUGCAACUGCCCGAGCAACCUAAAGGAAGGUCCUAAAGGGGGUGAGGUUGGGCAAAACAAAACUGAAAUUUAAAAAUGUAGAAACUCCUUUUGCCCAUCUUGGGUCGCUCAGCUCCAGAGGCAAGCUCUGGGCACCACACGGGUCCCACUGCGGCCUGGGUGGCUGGCCUGCAAGGUGCAUGGGUGCGUAUGCACGGAGAGGAUGGGGACUCCAGGGCUGCCCUCACUGGUCAUUCUGAAGUGAUCUCCUAAUGAACCUAAUUUCGAUUCCACUGCCCGCCCGAGCUGGCUCUCGGGACUUCCUAAACGCGGUUGAUUGCAGCUUCUCACCCUCCCUCUGCCAAGGCCGGGUCUGAGCUGUCCAUUCUCUUGUGUCUCCUUGGAAGCUCCCUGGAGAAGGGGGGUGGUGAACAACUCCCAGCUGCCGGUUCCAUUUGUUGCGCUUUUUUCCUUCGACACAAUAAAAGUCAAAUUAAUUGAUUCAUACCAUUAAUU